GCCUGGGUGGCUUAGUCGGUUAAGCGUCCGACUUUGGCUCAGGUCAUGAUCUCACAAUCCGUGAGUUCGAGCCUCAUGUCGGGCU
rnacentral:tRNA from 1 species